AAUGUUAAACACGAGCAGUAGGUAACCAUUAACUUUUGUUUAUUGGAUGAAUAUUGGAAUAUUUAUUGACAUAUUUCCUUUAGAUUCAACAUGACUAACUGCUAACUAAAUAAAUGGAUGAAUGAUAUCCACCAGGUAGCGCGACUGCGCGAGUGUCUUCAGGGAUUCUUAGCAGCCAUUUUGUUCCAAGACGCAGUUGAAGUAGGUUGUUGGCUGUCACGCUCCUCACGAUGAAAAUUAAAAGGUGAUUUUGGACGUUGAAACUAAUUUGCCAAUUCAACUCAGACUUGGAAGUACCUGUACAUUUCCGAAAUGGCGUGCCUCGUGUGUCAUGCUGCCUCUUCUUAGGCGUACGUCUCAUCUCAUGCAACAGAAAAAAGUAUAACAAACACUUCUUUAACGCUGGUGGUUACCUUGUUGCAGCCAAAUGGUGAAAGGUGUGACGAAGACCGAUUGAGCCUUAGUAUGCAGCAUGCAGUUGCAGUGUAAUCCAGAAGUUGCUGUGCUGUUGUAGCUGAGCUGUUGCAUCUAGGUUCCUGAUUUUAAAAUGUUUGUGUUUUCAUCCAUGCCAUAUGAAAUUGCUCUGCCAGUGAUAUUUCGUGA